UACGAAGGGGGCUAGCGUUGCUCGGAAUCACUGGGCGUAAAGCGCACGUAGGCGGCUUGUUAAGUCAGGGGUGAAAUCCUGGAGCUCAACUCCAGAACUGCCUUUGAUACUGGCGAUCUUGAGUCCGGGAGAGGUGAGUGGAACUGCGAGUGUAGAGGUGAAAUUCGUAGAUAUUCGCAAGAACACCAGUGGCGAAGGCGGCUCACUGGCCCGGUACUGACGCUGAGGUGCGAAAGCGUGGGGAGCGAACCGG
rnacentral:rRNA from 1 species